rnacentral:rRNA from 1 species
GAUGAACGCUGGCGGCGUGCCUAAUACAUGCAAGUCGAGCGAACAGACGAGGAGCUUGCUCCUCUGACGUUAGCGGCGGACGGGUGAGUAACACGUGGAUAACCUACCUAUAAGACUGGGAUAACUUCGGGAAACCGGAGCUAAUACCGGAUAAUAUAUUGAACCGCAUGGUUCAAUAGUGAAAGACGGUUUUGCUGUCACUUAUAGAUGGAUCCGCGCCGCAUUAGCUAGUUGGUAAGGUAACGGCUUACCAAGGCGACGAUGCGUAGCCGACCUGAGAGGGUGAUCGGCCACACUGGAACUGAGACACGGUCCAGACUCCUACGGGAGGCAGCAGUAGGGAAUCUUCCGCAAUGGGCGAAAGCCUGACGGAGCAACGCCGCGUGAGUGAUGAAGGUCUUCCGAUCGUAAAACUCUGUUAUUAGGGAAGAACAAAUGUGUAAGUAACUAUGCACGUCUUGACGGUACCUAAUCAGAAAGCCACGGCUAACUACGUG